AUGAACGCGGAGGGGAUCCAGUGGUGCGUGGAGGAGAAGGAGGCCGUGGCGGCCGCGCGCGACCAGCUCGCCACCCACGCCGCCAGGCUCGAGAAGGAGUGCGUCCUCUACAAGCAUGACCUAGAGCGUGCCAUGGAGUCCUGCGACGAGCUCGCCAGGGAGAGCGACGACCUGCGCAAGUGCCUCCGGGACGCCCCCGACGUCAGUAACACCCCUUUCCUCGCUGUUACCGCACUGAACAAUGAAGUGGAAGCCCUACAGAGGGACAAGGAGAUACUGAGGACCAAUCUAAACAAAGCAGAGGAGGAAACCCUACCGCUCGCCGCUCUCCAUGCGCCGCCUCUCCAACUUUGCCGUGAAGGGAAAGAGGCUCAAGAAGUUGGAAAAAGGGAACGCUUCAUCUUUGUAGCUAAUUAUAUGUUCCUGGAUGAUGUAAAUGGCUGUUAUAGUAUUUCAUAG
rnacentral:rRNA from 1 species